GAGGGAAGAGUGAAUAUAAGUGUGGCCUGAGUGAAAAGGAGAUUCAGACACGUCUGUAAGCUGGUGAGGCCGGGCAUCGGAAACCCUAUUUACGCGACUCUGAGGAGCCUCCUGAGAAGCCAAGCUCUGUGCCGAUGGGAUCAGACACCACUGAACAUGUCCACGGUGCUUGGGGGCUUGGACAACAGAAGUCCGACACUGAGACACCUGCAGGCACGGAGUUCAUCGUCCCAGGGGAAGUUUGUUACAGUAAAUGGAUGAGCACCUGACCCAAAGGCCACCAACCAAUAAACUAGCCAGUGUCCUGUGUGAUAC
rnacentral:lncRNA from 1 species